rnacentral:rRNA from 1 species
UACGUAGGGGGCUAGCGUUGUCCGGAAUCAUUGGGCGUAAAGCGCGUGUAGGCGGCCCGGUAAGUCCGCUGUGAAAGUCGGGGGCUCAACCCUCGGAAGCCGGUGGAUACUGUCGGGCUCGAGUCCGGAAGAGGAGUGUGGAAUUCCUGGUGUAGCGGUGAAAUGCGCAGAUAUCAGGAAGAACACCUAUGGCGAAGGCAGCACUCUGGGACGGUACUGACGCUGAGACGCGAAAGCGUGGGGAGCGAACAGG